UUUUUAUUCAAAUGAUUUUUAUCACUCAUUUUAUUUAUAUUUAAACUAAGUCAUAUGCUUAUUAUAAGAAACAAAUACAAUCAACUUCAUUGAUAAGUAAACAUUAAAGUACUGUUGAGUCAUUAUUUUUUGUGGGAUAUAAGUUUUCAUAGAACGUGAACCAAACCACAUAUCAAUGAAGUACAAAUUAUGUAUCCUAUUGCAUGCUGACUUUAGGCCACAAUUAAAAAUAUUUUGGUUUGCCCAAACCCUACCCAAGGUUGAGACAGUGGGUAGGUAGGUAGGUAGGCAUUUUCUUUUUUCUUAAAGAAAUUUACGUUUUGGAUGUUUAUUAGUCUUCAUGCCUAUCUGAUUAAAAAAAAACUUCUUCAAAUCAGGACAAUAAAAGAAUUUGAGUAGGCAGCUUUUUUCUGGGUAGGUAGGGUUUGGGCAAACAAACCUAUUCUUUUUUAUGGCCUUAGCAAAACCAUGAAAUCAAAUAUCUACAAAAUUAGAUUUAUCCAAAGUAUAAAAUUAUACUGUGGAUUCAUUUAUUUUCGUGGGUACAAAUUUUCGUGGAUUACCAGAAACCUGCAUGUUCGUGGAUAUUUAAUUUAGUGGUUUUGCCGAAGUCUGCAUAUAAGCCUAUAGGAAAUUUGUUAUUCGUUGAACAUUUAAUUUCGUGGUUCACCUGUACCCAUGAAAGCAACGAAAAUUGGUAUCCAACGAAUAAUAAUGAAUUUACGGUAAUUGAAUACACAGUCCGAUUCAAAGUGAGAUAUUAUGCCCACAUUUCCCUUACAAGGUUAUGUUCUAAUAAUAAUUACCUCUACACAUAAAAUUUCUGCUCCUAAAAAUUUUGAUGGUAUGUACCAUUAAGACAAAUCCUAAUAACCCCUAAAAUAGUAUUUUUGAAAUAGUUAGUUUUCUUUACCCUGUAUCAGACUAAUGAAACCAUACUUCUAGCAAUAGAUAUAAUAUAUAGUGAGCCAGUCAUUUUAUUUAAUCAAAGUGAUGGAAAUCACUCAUGGAAAGAUUAGAAGAGUAGUUUGAAUUAUUUCAUAUCAAGGUAUGGUGGAGAAAAAUGAACAUUUAUAAAGCACUAUUGCUGAAAAUUGCAUUUACAGCAGGUCUUUAGAAGGAAACUUGCUUUUCCAGUAUGAGGAUAAAAUGAGCUCAAAUUAAAUAAUAUGGGUCUCUUAAUUUGCACAAUUUUAUUUAAACUGCAGUUUAUAUCUUAUCAAAAUUAU
rnacentral:lncRNA from 1 species